rnacentral:lncRNA from 1 species
AGCCCUGGUCAAUCACCUUUACUCCCCUCAAGAUGUAAAAGCAUUGGAUAGGUGUAGAUGAAUUAUCUACCAACACAGGUACAACAAUCCACUGCUUUUAAUAUUUGAGGGGGUGUGAAUGAGUGCCCAGGUAAGAAGGGGUGUAAUUGGGAUUGGGUUCCUGUCAUCGUAGCACACGUACGCCAUCUUCCCAUUUUCUAGUUGUAAUCAGCUGACAGCUGACUUUUCCGAAAAAUAGCGACAUUGCUUGUUGUUUGAUUUACAUAGUUAGUUGUCAUUACUUUGAGCAAAGCUGCCAGUAUGCGCUGAAUUACCGGUAAUCAAGGAUUAUUUUACAAUCGUCUGUCACCUCAUCAUGAGUGGAGAGAUGAGAAAGCAUCUUCACUGACGAGCAAGGGUAAGAUGGUGAAGGGAAUGGACCGGCUCAUGGUUCUGGUGGCCAGAGCUGGAUCUGAGGUGGCUGUCACCAUUGAGCAUUCAGCUAAGCAGAUGAGAUUGUCUCCAUGACCAGGAGAAACAUGGGCAACUCGUUCCAGUAUCCAUUCCUGCAAGCUGAAUUUAAAUGAUCAUUAUUUUUGCCAUCUUUCAUGCCUUCCAGUGUUGUAUAUAGCCAAAUCAAACAGGUCUUUCUCUACUGUUUUUCUUUUUAAGAAUUUGUUGUUGACGGUUCUGACAUGUUCUGUUUGAGCUGCUUUUGAAUGAAAAGUUGUAUUAAAAACAUUAUUGGCAUUGUUGAAUUCGAUUUUCAUAAUAGCAAGCUAGGACUGAUGGUUUGGUUAGCUAAACUACUGUAGCAAGUCUGUUUGUUUGGUUAUCAAGGCAACUACUAAUUUGCUAGCUAAUUUAUUGGUGAUUGUUGAAUACAGUUCUACUGUCAAAUAACCAUUUCUAGUGGCAAAUGUGUUAAAUUAUAGCCAUGGUACAGUAUAAAAGG